rnacentral:rRNA from 1 species
AAAUUGAAGAGUUUGAUCAUGGCUCAGAUUGAACGCUGGCGGCAGGCCUAACACAUGCAAGUCGAACGGUAACAGGAAGCAGCUUGCUGCUUUGCUGACGAGUGGCGGACGGGUGAGUAAUGUCUGGGAAACUGCCUGAUGGAGGGGGAUAACUACUGGAAACGGUGGCUAAUACCGCAUAACGUCGCAAGACCAAAGAGGGGGACCUUCGGGCCUCUUGCCAUCAGAUGUGCCCAGAUGGGAUUAGCUUGUUGGUGGGGUAACGGCUCACCAAGGCGACGAUCCCUAGCUGGUCUGAGAGGAUGACCAGCCACACUGGAACUGAGACACGGUCCAGACUCCUACGGGAGGCAGCAGUGGGGAAUAUUGCACAAUGGGCGCAAGCCUGAUGCAGCCAUGCCGCGUGUAUGAAGAAGGCCUUCGGGUUGUAAAGUACUUUCAGCGGGGAGGAAGGUGUUGUGGUUAAUAACCGCAGCAAUUGACGUUACCCGCAGAAGAAGCACCGGCUAACUCCGUGCCAGCAGCCGCGGUAAUACGGAGGGUGCAAGCGUUAAUCGGAAUUACUGGGCGUAAAGCGCACGCAGGCGGUCUGUCAAGUCGGAUGUGAAAUCCCCGGGCUCAACCUGGGAACUGCAUUCGAAACUGGCAGGCUUGAGUCUUGUAGAGGGGGGUAGAAUUCCAGGUGUAGCGGUGAAAUGCGUAGAGAUCUGGAGGAAUACCGGUGGCGAAGGCGGCCCCCUGGACAAAGACUGACGCUCAGGUGCGAAAGCGUGGGGAGCAAACAGGAUUAGAUACCCUGGUAGUCCACGCCGUAAACGAUGUCUACUUGGAGGCUGUGCCCUUGAGGCGUGGCUUCCGGAGCUAACGCGUUAAGUAGACCGCCUGGGGAGUACGGCCGCAAGGUUAAAACUCAAAUGAAUUGACGGGGGCCCGCACAAGCGGUGGAGCAUGUGGUUUAAUUCGAUGCAACGCGAAGAACCUUACCUGGUCUUGACAUCCACGGAAGGUCUCAGAGAUGAGACUGUGCCUUCGGGAACCGUGAGACAGGUGCUGCAUGGCUGUCGUCAGCUCGUGUUGUGAAAUGUUGGGUUAAGUCCCGCAACGAGCGCAACCCUUAUCCUUUGUUGCCAGCGGUUAGGCCGGGAACUCAAAGGAGACUGCCAGUGAUAAACUGGAGGAAGGUGGGGAUGACGUCAAGUCAUCAUGGCCCUUACGACCAGGGCUACACACGUGCUACAAUGGCGCAUACAAAGAGAAGCGACCUCGCGAGAGCAAGCGGACCUCAUAAAGUGCGUCGUAGUCCGGAUUGGAGUCUGCAACUCGACUCCAUGAAGUCGGAAUCGCUAGUAAUCGUGGAUCAGAAUGCCACGGUGAAUACGUUCCCGGGCCUUGUACACACCGCCCGUCACACCAUGGGAGUGGGUUGCAAAAGAAGUAGGUAGCUUAACCUUCGGGAGGGCGCUUACCACUUUGUGAUUCAUGACUGGGGUGAAGUCGUAACAAGGUAACCGUAGGGGAACCUGCGGUUGGAUCACCUCCUUACCAGAAAGAA